UAUUUUUAACGUGUUCAAGAUAUUCUAUUGCUUCGACUGAGACAGUAGGGGGGCUCGGCUGGGACCCAUCCGAUACAUGUUAAUGUGCAGAUAAAUAAGUUCCUGUGACUUCCCUUGAUCGGAUAUCGGGUGCAAUGCUUUUCAUGUCCAUUUCUUCUUUUCUUCGGACCAACAUGGUGCGGAGAAUAGCUUUUGGAAGAGGUGGCCACUGAAAAAAAUUGAAGCUCGGUUUGGAGCCAGACACCGCCACUUUGAAUACUCUUAUCAAGGGCCUUUGUUUUGGUGGCGAAGUUGCUCAAGCAGCAGGGUUAUUUAACCGAAUGAUGCAGAACGGUUGUCAAUUUUAAGCAAUUCCUCCAGGAUAUUGUGAGCUCAUGUCUUUGUAUCCGUAGAUGCCUCUUGAAGUUAUGGAUUUUGGAAGAUCUGAAGGAUUGUAAGUUCCGGUUUUUUCCAGGUCUUCAAAAAGUCGGAUUUGUGCUACUGUGUGCUGCCUGAUUUCUCCUCAAGUUCCUUCCUGCAAUAAUUUGACCAUGAAUAUUGCCUCUACAGUAUUAGGGGGUUUUUGGGGACAAGGAUGAGGUUUGGAUUGUGGUCAUGGCAAAGAUUGUGUGAGAGGAUGAGGAGUUCGACAUGGCAAUUCUCGCAUUUGCAUGCAUUGUGGCAAGGAAAAUCAUGCCUUUGAUUGCUGUUGGUAUCUCCUUGGGAAACUAGCUUGGGCCUAUGAAUUUCUUGCAAACGGCAAUUCUACUAUUGACACUUCAAAUGACCCUAGCCACUCUACUAGGAAGUCAUUACUUUGUCUUGAGAGGUGUUUAACAAUC